CCCUUACUUGUAAACUUAAAACUUAUCCUUUAUCUUUAUUUUUUUUCUUUUUGGAAAAGCUAUCCCAUAUCUUUAUUGAUAUGAAAUAUGUGAUAUUCUACUUUAUCCAUCCUCAUUAAGAAUGACUCACUUUGACCCGAACUUACAUCUCUUAAGGGAUGUGCCACAUCAGUGAAAAUUUGAGUAAAAGAGAGACUCAACUUGGUCUAAGCCUAUCUCGACUUUAAUA
rnacentral:lncRNA from 1 species